CCUACGGGAGGCAGCAGUGGGGAAUUUUGGACAAUGGGCGCAAGCCUGAUCCAGCAAUGCCGCGUGAGUGAAGAAGGCCUUCGGGUUGUAAAGCUCUUUUGUCAGGGAAGAAACGGCUCCAGCUAAUAUCUGGGGCUAAUGACGGUACCUGAAGAAUAAGCACCGGCUAACUACGUGCCAGCAGCCGCGGUAAUACGUAGGGUGCAAGCGUUAAUCGGAAUUACUGGGCGUAAAGCGUGCGCAGGCGGUUUUGUAAGUCUGUCGUGAAAGCCCCGGGCUCAACCUGGGAAUUGCGAUGGAGACUGCAAGGCUUGAAUCUGGCAGAGGGGGGUAGAAUUCCACGUGUAGCAGUGAAAUGCGUAGAGAUGUGGAGGAACACCGAUGGCGAAGGCAGCCCCCUGGGUCAAGAUUGACGCUCAUGCACGAAAGCGUGGGGAGCAAACAGGAUUAGAUACCCUGGUAGUCCACGCCCUAAACGAUGUCUACUAGUUGUCGGGUUUUAAUUAACUUGGUAACGCAGCUAACGCGUGAAGUAGACCGCCUGGGGAUACGGUCGCAAGAUUAAAACUCAAAGGAAUUGACGG
rnacentral:rRNA from 1 species